GGGGUGUUUUGCUGGGCUGGGCCUUGAUUCUCUACCAGCCGGCUUGCCCUUUAUAGGGGUGGCCCAACUAAACCCCCACUUUUACCGCUCUUUAAUGAGAGUGUUCACAGCCCGCCUCUUUCUCUUUAAAUAAAUUUGGAAUAUUAAAAUAGGCUAUCCUCUUCUAUUUUGGCGUUUCUGGAAUAAUGGAAUUGAACCUCAGGUCCAUUUGGGGGGUUUUCGGAACCCCGACUAAAGGUUAAAUUCUUGGAUUGACUCAAAUCCAGACUGAAAGAAAGCAUUUGCCAAGGAUGUUUUCAUUAAUCAAGUUCGAAGGUUAGGGGAUCGAAAACGAUCAGAUACCGAAGUUCUUUUAACAGUUAAGUAGGCAGAUUAGGGAUCGGAUGACCUUAAAAUUGAUGGGUCAUUUGGCACCUUACGAGAAAUCAAAGUCUUUGGGUUCUGGGGGGAGUAUGGUGGCAAGGCUGAAACUUAAAGGAAUUGACGGAAGGGCACCACCAGGUGUGGAGCCUGCGGCUUAAUUUGACUCAACACGGGGAAACUCACCAGGUCCAGACAUAACUAGGAUUGACGGAUUGAUAGCUCUUUCAUGAUUUUAUGGGUGGUGGUGCAUGGCCGUUCUUAGUUGGUGGAGUGAUUUGUCUGGUUAAUUACGAUAACGAACGAGACCUUAACUUGCUAAAUAGCCAGGCCGGCUUCGGCUGGUCUCUGGAUUUUUAGAGGGACCUCAG
rnacentral:rRNA from 1 species